rnacentral:rRNA from 1 species
AGAGUUUGAUCCUGGCUCAGAAUCAACGCUGGCGGCGCGCUUAACACAUGCAAGUCGCACGAGAAAGCAGUAGCAAUACUGUGAGUAAAGUGGCGUACGGGUGAGUAACACGUGGAUCAUCUACCUUCUAGUGGGGAAUACCUCCGGGAAACUGGAGACAAUACCGCAUAAGCUCGUAAGAGGAAAGCAGCAAUGCGCUGGAAGAGGAGUCCGCGGCUGAUUAGCUAGUUGGCGGGGUAAUGGCCCACCAAGGCGAAGAUCGGUAGCCGGCCUGAGAGGGCACACGGCCACACUGGCACUGAAACACGGGCCAGACUCCUACGGGAGGCAGCAGUGGGGAAUCUUGCACAAUGGAGGAAACUCUGAUGCAGCGACGCCGCGUGAGCGAUGAAGCCCUUCGGGGUGUAAAGCUCUUUCGACGGGAACGAUAAUGACGGUACCCGAAGAAGAAGCUGCGGCUAACUACGUGCCAGCAGCCGCGGUAAUACGUAGGCAGCAAGCGUUGUUCGGAAUUACUGGGCGUAAAGAGUGUGUAGGCGGUGCUCCAAGUCUGGUGUGAAAUCUCCCGGCUCAACUGGGAGGGUGCGCUAGAAACUGGAAUGCUAGAGGAUGGGAGAGGUAAGCGGAAUUCCUGGUGUAGCGGUGAAAUGCGUAGAUAUCAGGAGGAACACCUGUGGUGUAGACAGCUUACUGGACCAUUUCUGACGCUGAGACACGAAAGCGUGGGUAGCAAACAGGAUUAGAUACCCUGGUAGUCCACGCUGUAAACGAUGGAUGCUAGCCGUUGGGGAGCUUGCUCUUCAGUGGCGCAGCUAACGCUUUAAGCAUCCCGCCUGGGGAGUACGGUCGCAAGGUUAAAACUCAAAGGAAUUGACGG